AAGAUUUUAAGUUAAAAAAACUCAUGACCUUCAAAGUCAUUAUUAAAUAUUAUUUAAAUCUUA
rnacentral:tRNA from 1 species